rnacentral:rRNA from 1 species
AGUUCGGAUUGAAGUCUGCAACUCGACUUCAUGAAGUUGGAAUCGCUAGUAAACGCUGAUCAGCUACGCAGCGUUGAAUACGUUCUCGGGUUUUGUACACACCGCCCGUCACACCAAGAGAGUCGGGGGCACCCGAAGGCUGACAUUAGUCGGACGAAGGUGAAAUCGAUGAUAGGGGUGAAGUCGUAACAAGGCAUCCGUAGCGGAAGCUGUGGAUGGAUCACCUCCUUU